AGGUCAUGUUGAAACACCAGUUCCUGUACGAUCACCGAAGUUAAGCAAUGUCGAGCCUGGUUAGUACCUAGAUGGGUGACUGCUUGGGAAUAUCAGGUGCU
rnacentral:rRNA from 1 species